CCCUAGUACGGCGAGUGACCGGGAAGAGCUCAAAUUUGAAAUCUGGCGUGCUCAGUGCGUCCGAGUUGUAAUCUAUAGAGGCGUUUUCCGUGCCGGACUGUGUCUAAGUCCCUUGGAACAGGGUAUCAAAGAGGGUGAUAAUCCCGUACUUGACACAAUGACCGGUGCUCUGUGAUACGUCUUCUACGAGUCGAGUUGUUUGGGAAUGCAGCUCAAAAUGGGUGGUGAGUUCCAUCUAAAGCUAAAUAUUGGCGAGAGACCGAUAGCGAACAAGUACCGUGAGGGAAAGAUGAAAAGCACUUUGGAAAGAGAGUUAAACAGUACGUGAAAUUGUUAAAAGGGAAACGAUUGAAGUCAGUCGUGACUGAGAGGCUCAGCCGGUUCUGCCGGUGUAUUCCCCUCAGUCGGGUCAACAUCAGUUUUGUUCGGUGGAUAAGGGCAGUUGGAAGGUGGCACCUCCGGGUGUGUUAUAGCCAGCUGUCGCAUACAUCGGAUGAGACUGAGGAAUGCAGCUCGCCUUUAUGGCCGGGGUUCGCCCACGUUCGAGCUUAGGAUGUUGACAUAAUGGCUUUAAACGACCCGUCUUGAAACACGGA
rnacentral:rRNA from 1 species